UUCUAAAUUGGUUAGACAUUAUACCCAUUUGAAUUGCCUUCACUCCUGAGUCUCUGAGUGUCAGGUUCAAGCUGCUGACCGAUGAGGUUCCUUAUGCUUGUGAACCAGUUAGAUUCUAUACACAUAUGAAUCUUCCCCAUAUUCGAAUAUCUGAAUGUCAGACUCAAGCUGAUGAUAUAUGAGGUAUGGUCAUCGCUGUAUCAAUCAAGUCCCAUUGAAAUAUUGAAACGUUGUUCAUACAUCUUUGAAUGACCUUUUAUGUGCUGACAAUAUAUUCUGAAAU